rnacentral:rRNA from 1 species
AGCAAUCUCGCAAGUAAAGUGGCGUACGGGUGAGUAACACGUGGGUAAUCUACCUUUUAGUGGGGAAUAACGCUGGGAAACCGGCGCUAAUACCGCAUAAUCCCGAGAGGGGAAAGCAGCAAUGCGCUGAAAGAGGAGCCCGCGGCCGAUUAGCUAGUUGGUAGGGUAAAAGCCUACCAAGGCAUAGAUCGGUAGCCGGCCUGAGAGGGCACACGGCCACACUGGCACUGAAACACGGGCCAGACUCCUACGGGAGGCAGCAGUGGGGAAUCUUGCACAAUGGGGGCAACCCUGAUGCAGCGACGCCGCGUGAGCGAUGAAGCCCUUCGGGGUGUAAAGCUCUUUCGGCAGGGACGAUAAUGACGGUACCUGCAGAAGCAGCUGCGGCUAACUACGUGCCAGCAGCCGCGGUAAUACGUAGGCAGCGAGCGUUGUUCGGAGUUACUGGGCGUAAAGGGUGUGUAGGCGGUUUUCUAAGUUUGGUGUGAAAUCUCCCGGCUUAACCGGGAGGGUGCGCCGAAAACUGGGAGACUAGAGUGCGGGAUGGGAGAGUAGAAUUCCUGGUGUAGCGGUGAAAUGCGUAGAUAUCAGGAGGAAUACCGGUGGUGUAGACGGCUCUCUGGACCGCCACUGACGCUGAGACACGAAAGCGUGGGUAGCAAACAGGAUUAGAUACCCUGGUAGUCCACGCCCUAAACGAUGCAUAUUUGGUGUAGGUCAUUCAGUUGAUCUGUGCCGGAGCUAACGCGUUAAAUAUGCCGCCUGGGGAGUACAGUCGCAAGGCUGAAACUC